UAUAUGCCCGGUGAAGUGUAUA
rnacentral:miRNA from 1 species